CUUCAAUUUUAAAUUUAGGUGUUUUUUAAAAAUGCCUACUCGCUCUUUGAAGUUUGAGCCAAAACUUGCAUAAUACUAGGAAAUGGUCCGUAUCACAGUCAGCACUCCUGUAAUUUCUUACAUCUGUUAUAAUUAAUCUAUAUCGUUUUGCAAUCAAUAAAAUAUGGUCGAUUUGAUUCAUAUUCGGUCCAUUUGGAGACUUCC